rnacentral:misc_RNA from 1 species
UAGAGAGACUUCAUCAUGCUCGGGGAGAGUGGAGAGCAACGAUGACAGUUGAGACGUUCUCCUUCUUGGGCUGUAAUUUGACAGUAGGGGCUCUUUCUCCAUCUGGGAAACCAAAAAGGAUAAAUCUUUGGCGGUUUUGGAGGAACAGGAAUAGUGGGGUGGUGAAAGAAAACAAAAAAACCGCGUAGGAUUGAAUAGGAAAGUGAAGAAUCAGACAAUUGCGGAAGCAACAGAGGUUCAGAUAUCAUCCAAAGCGAAAAAGCAGAAAUAGAAAGAGAGUGGGCUUACACAUAAGAAGGAAAUACAAGACGAGGAAGCUUGAUUGUUGGAGAGCCAUCCAAGGAGUUCCAGAGGCUCAAAAACGAAGAUUUAGAAAAGAGUUCUCAAAUUAAACGUCAGCUGACACCAAAC